GACCGAUAGCGAACAAGUACUGUGAAGGAAAGAUGGAAAGAACUUUGAAAAGAGAGUGAAAAAGGGCUUGAAAUUGUUAAGAGGAGAAGUGAUUGGAGCAUAUCAUACGGCGUGGGGUUCCAGGGACGGGACUUGUCUUGUCUUGCACCAUCCCGCGCUGUUGGUCAGCAUCGGUUCUGUGUGGGGGAGAAAACCCUUUGCGUUGAUGGCUUCGGCUUGAUCGUUUUGGGCGAAACCUUGGACGGGACCGAGGCAGCAAGUCUACGCUUGGCGGCCGGCCCCCUGCCCGUUUUGGGGCGCGUUGUACACCCUUUUGGCGUCUGCGGCGCGUGUUGGAACGAUGCGGGGGAGCGCUGGACCUGUAGACUCGAGAUGUUGGCACAAUGGCUUCAAUCAGCCCGUCUUGAAACACGGACCAA
rnacentral:rRNA from 1 species